UAGGGAAUCUUCCACAAUGGACGCAAGUCUGAUGGAGCAACGCCGCGUGAGUGAAGAAGGUUUUCGGAUCGUAAAGCUCUGUUGUUGGUGAAGAAGGAUAGAGGCAGUAACUGGUCUUUAUUUGACGGUAAUCAACCAGAAAGUCACGGCUAACUACGUGCCAGCAGCCGCGGUAAUACGUAGGUGGCAAGCGUUGUCCGGAUUUAUUGGGCGUAAAGCGAGCGCAGGCGGAAUGAUAAGUCUGAUGUGAAAGCCCACGGCUCAACCGUGGAACUGCAUCGGAAACUGUCAUUCUUGAGUGCAGAAGAAGAGAGUGGAACUCCAUGUGUAGCGGUGGAAUGCGUAGAUAUAUGGAAGAACACCAGUGGCGAAGGCGGCUCUCUGGUCUGCAACUGACGCUGAGGCUCGAAAGCAUGGGUAGCGAACAGGAUUAGAUACCCUGGUAGUCCAUGCCGUAAACGAUGAGCGCUAGGUGUUGGGGACUUUCCGGUUCUCAGUGCCGCAGCAAACGCAUUAAGCGCUCCGCCUGGGGAGUACGACCGCAAGGUUGAAAC
rnacentral:rRNA from 1 species